GACGUAGGGCGCGAGCGUUGUCCGGAUUUAUUGGGCGUAAAGAGCGUGUAGGCGGCUUGGUAGGUCUGCUGUGAAAACUCGAGGCUCAACCUCGAGCUGUCGGCGGAAACCACUUGGCUAGAGUCCGGAAGAGGAGAGUGGAAUUCCUGGUGUAGCGGUGAAAUGCGCAGAUAUCAGGAAGAACACCUAUGGCGAAGGCAGCUCUCUGGGACGGUACUGACGCUGAGACGCGAAAGCGUGGGGAGCGAACAGG
rnacentral:rRNA from 1 species